GCGAGGCCGAAAGGCGUAGUCGAUGGGAAACGGGUUAAUAUUCCCGUACUUCUUACAAUUGCGAUGGGGGGACGGAGAAGGCUAGGUGGGCCUGGCGACGGUUGUCCAGGUUCAAGUGCGUAGGCUUAAGAGUUAGGUAAAUCCGGCUCUUUCUAAGGCUGAGACACGACGUCGAGCACCUACGGGUGUGAAGUCAUUGAUGCCAUGCUUCCAGGAAAAGCCUCUAAGCUUCAGAUUGUAAGGAAUCGUACCCCAAACCGACACAGGUGGUCGGGUAGAG
rnacentral:rRNA from 1 species